AGACAAACUAAAUGAUUCAGUUCAUCAUUGGCAUCCUUGUGAACAGUUUUGAAGAUAGCUUUCAGAGACUAAUUACGUGAUAUUUCUCUCAAACUUUUUCUACAAAUAGCCUGGGACUUCCACUGACUGUGCCACUGCUUCAGCGUCCACCAUCAGUGGCAUUGGCCGCCCUCUGAGCCAAAUCUUGGCGCUCCCAGCCGCUGCUCCUGAACCCCGCCUCCAUCAGCUCCACUUCACC
rnacentral:rRNA from 1 species